ensembl:miRNA
AGCAAGCAUUGGCACUCUCCUCUUGUGAAGACCUCGUGCAUUGUAGCUUUGCAUGCUACAAUACACUAGAUCUUAGUCAAAAGGAAAGCCAAGGCACAGAUGGAAGUGAA